rnacentral:rRNA from 1 species
AGAGUUUGAUCCUGGCUCAGAACGAACGCUGGCGGCAGGCUUAACACAUGCAAGUCGAACGGGUGUAGCAAUACAUCAGUGGCAGACGGGUGAGUAACACGUGGGAACCUUCCUAGGGGUACGGAACAACUCAGGGAAACUUGAGCUAAUACCGUAUACGUCCGUGAGGAGAAAGAUUUAUCGCCCUUAGACGGGCCCGCGUAGGAUUAGCUAGUUGGUGAGGUAACGGCCCACCAAGGCGACGAUCCUUAGCUGAUCUGAGAGGAUGAUCAGCCACACUGGGACUGAGACACGGCCCAGACUCCUACGGGAGGCAGC